rnacentral:rRNA from 1 species
AAAUUGAAGAGUUUGAUCAUGGCUCAGAUUGAACGCUGGCGGCAGGCCUAACACAUGCAAGUCGAACGGUAACAGAAAGCAGCUUGCUGCUUUGCUGACGAGUGGCGGACGGGUGAGUAAUAUCUGGGAAACUGCCUGAUGGAGGGGGAUAACUACUGGAAACGGUAGCUAAUACCGCAUAACGUCGCAAGACCAAAGAGGGGGACCUUCGGGCCUCUUGCCAUCGGAUGUGCCCAGAUGGGAUUAGCUAGUAGG